UACUAAAGUAAUUGUGCAAAAACGAAGAAAAAUGCUUAUUUGGGACCUGUUUUUGGCCCCUAAUUCCUAAACUGUUGGGACCAAAACACCCAAAAUCAAUCCUAACCUUCCUUUUAUGGUCAUACACCUUGUGUUUAAAUUUCAUAGAUUUCUAUUUACUUUUACUAAAGUUAGAGUGCGAAAACAAAAUGUCUUCGGACGACGACGACGACGCCAACG
rnacentral:lncRNA from 1 species